GUCCUUUUAGGGGUCGGUUUGGUUUAGUUUGGCUUGGGCCGGAGGAGGGACAGGGAUCAGGGGGGGCGGGCGGACGCGGGGGGAAAGCUUAGGCCUCCUCGAGCGGCCGGCCGCCUAGCCGGCUACCGCCGCAAGCCGCCGUUGCCCAUGACGAUGAGCAGCCCCAGCCUCCUGCUGCUCCUCCUCCUGCUCCUCCCCCGGCUCCCCAUGGCCUUCCCGCCGAUGGUGCGGCGCGCGGGGCCCCUGGCGAAGCGGCCGCCGUCCAAGCAGCGCGUCGCCUUCGAGCCGACCCCGUUGAAGAGGUGGCAGACCGAGCGGAUGCUGUGGGAGGAGUCGUCUAAGCACCGCGAGUUCUAGGUCUUCUCGCGCUCCCUGAUGCGCGUGCGGCGCGAGGUGCUCUAGCUCGACGACAGGCGCCGCCGGUUCCCGCUGGGGUGGUUAAGGUUCACGCAGUAGGUCGACGACCUGGUAAAGUUCGUGCGGCCGGGGUUGCCGUUCGUGUAAACGGACCAGUGGCUCAAGGAGCCGCUGUCGGACGACGCCGAGUAUGCCAUGUUGGCCUUAUUCCCGUAGCCCGACUCGUCCCACUCCCUCUAAACGGCCAGCCACGACUGGCCGGAGCUAAUGUACGUGGCUCUCGAGCGGUAAUAGGUGUGGCUAAACUUCGGCCUCUUACAGGAGGAUCACAGCUGCUAUUUGGGCAGGUUCCUGGGCCACGCGAGCUCCGAGUGGGGCUAAGAGUUCUCCGGUCUCCCCUUAGUCAUGGCGUGCGGUGGGUAGUCAAAGUCGCUCUUCUACGAAUUCUGCGCCCGCUCCGCGCGGCACCGCUUCUAAGACGUCUCCGCCCACAGCGAGCCACCCAAGUGCCGUCUGUACCAAUUCCUCUCUUCGGACCUACCGUAAUCGUACUUCACGUUCUAACAGCUAAAGCCCUUACGGACGACCCGACUAGUCGUCCCACUACCACACUAUGUCUGUUCCGUCAUAUCCCGUGGGCUCCAAUAGUAGCCAAGACCCAUAAGAAUAAGACGACUAUACACCAGCAAGCGAACAUACCGCAAACUCGAACGGUGGCCACUGUACGACAAACGAGGGUUGUGAACGGUUCCAACGUCACUUCUACUCCUAGUGGAUCGAGACUACUACCUUUGAGACCCUUUCUACGGAUUCUUCUAACGGUGGAGUCCGUGGGCAAGGUUCCUAAUGAAGUUGGCCAUGCCUCUGGACUUCUCCCAGUUUUCUUACUCCAAGACCGGGGAGCUCGCGCACGAUCAGCUCUCCAUGUUAAAGUGGCUCGGCCUGCGGUUUCCCGAGCGGCUGAAGGAGGCGGGCUAAGAGCUAAAACUAGGUCUCUUGUCCGGCUGGCGGCGGCUCACGGACUUCGUGCGUACCGAGUUGUUGACUAAGUUGGUUUGGUGGUUCAUUAUUGUACUCUUCGUCGGAUUGUCUGUUAUCGAAAUGUCUCCUCCGGCUCACAAUCUGUAGUCGAGGCCGCUCGUGACUAAAGCUGUACCGAGCUACUUGGUAGACGUCGCCAUUGGCUACUAGGCCCAAGAAAAAAAAUUAGAAGCACCGUAGUAGCAGCAGUACUAGCACACAAAAACCACAUCCCACACGACACCGGAACACCCACGUCUUCGACUACAUCAUCAACACCACAAAUAAAUAAGACGUACACUCCACCACAUUCUUCUACAAACCACCAUCACACUAGACCGGAAGUCGAAAUAAAAUCGAAAGGCAAACGACCAACUCAUCCUUCCUCGUUCACGCUACGCG
rnacentral:rRNA from 1 species